UCAGCCAAAUAGCAAGAUACUAUAUGUGCUGCUGUGUCACGUGUUGGUCAUAGGUGGCAGAGAGGAGAGAGGCUAUGUCUAUUCUCAGUGUUCUGACCAAUGAACAUCUGAAUGAUUAGUAGCCUAACAUU
ensembl:snoRNA LOC120100436 small nucleolar RNA SNORA17